rnacentral:lncRNA from 1 species
CCUUCGGUAUGUUUGUUCUGUAUAAAAAUAAUAAGAACAACACUCAUUCUCGCAGAUAAUUUCCAUAUUAUAGCAAUCAUGCAUGUAUUUUAUUAAUUUCUAUGUGUCGUGCAGAAUUCAAAAGAUGCGACGAUCUAUGUAAUCUGAAUAGCGAUAAAUAAAAUUGUUAGUCGUUAGCAGUUUAGUCCAAAAUAAGUUUUAAUCUAUUUUAGACUUUACUCGAAGAGAAAUAAACACACUAUUGGAAAAAUAUUUUCUUUAUCUCAUUAUUAAGUGUAUUCUAUUUAUAAAUCUAUCACUCUAUAUUUAAAAAAUAUUUUAAUUUUAUUCUCUAAAUAGUUUAAUAUUAUUCUCGAUAUUGUUAUCUUCCUGUUUUCGUUAUCCGAAAAUAGGAAAACACGUUUUGUGUUAUCCGACGAACUAUUUUUUAAACUAAAAUUAAAUUUGCUGCCAAAAGCUCAAAGUUGAUUUGGCAGAGCAAUGUUGCUCCAAAAUUUAUAACCCUCAUUAAUAAAAAAAGAAGUGGAACGGAAAAUAACAUUAUCUGAAAAAUAGGAAAUCAAAUCAAGUGUUUAUACGUUUGUAAUUGUUUAUUCUGAUCGAUAUCGCAAAAAAGUCUUUCUAAGAGUCCUUGAGUUUUCUGUAUUGUCACCCCGUCGUCCACAUUGCAGAUCGUUUACUCAGAUUUAUCAAGUUAUCGUCAGCGUAUUUGUCUCCUUUCCGGAAAUAGUCGUUCAAGAAAACGAUCGUCUCGUUAAUGUGUCGUAAAGUGUAUCGCGUGUCAAGCAAAGUUUAUCGCGUUAAUGCAUUUGAUCGGUGUUUCCUAUAUACAUGUGUGCAUGGUGGAUUUUACUGCUCGCGAUCAGCUGGACAAAGAGGUCUUACUGCCCUUUAGUUGGGUACUGAAGAAAAGAGUCUGAUGAACUUUGUUGUCACCUAAUGAUGGUCGUGGUCAGUCAGUGUAACGAAAUGUAUUUAAAAAUCGAAGAUACACAGAUGCAAAAUAUGAUGAUCGCAAAGUUUGCGCAAUGAUCGGAAAUACACGACUUCAAAUUUAAUAUGAGCCUACACUGGGAAAAAGAUACUUAAAAUUUGUGACGUAUUAAUUUAUAGUUCAUUGAAAUAAAUCUGUAACUUAAUACGGCAAAAAAGUAUUUGUUAUUCUUAACAAAUCAAUUAAGAAAUAAAUUAAGAAGAAAAAUGAGUUACAUUUUAACUAAAGUAAGAUAGAUUUUACAGAAAUAUAUAUUUUGUAUGUAUAUUAUCAGGUACAAAUUCUUUAGAUUCAAGGAAAACAAGUAACAUUUUGUUUACUAAUAUCUGAACUUUCUUUCUCACUUUGUCAGUGUAAUGUGACGUCACUCCUCUUUAUAACAAAUUUAUCGCGCGGGACACAAAACACGACACGAUUUCUACGUCACAAUUCUUACGAAGGUCAUGUUAUUUCGAUACAUCAUAAUUUCCGCAGCAUUAUCAUGAGAUAUAAUAUUAAAUAAUCUCACGCGAUGUGCGUGCCAAGGGAAACGCAUUUCAAUUUUAUCAUCUCUUGUUUAUCAAUCAAUGCAUUUUUUAAAAAAAGACCCGACAAAUGUAUAUCUGUCGUAUAAUGCGUUUGAAAAUCUCAAGGUCCCACGAAAACGAUAAUGAUAUGCAUUUCACUGCACAUAUCGUUUUUGUGGGAUCUUGAAAUUUUUUAAUGUAUUAUAUGCCAGAUAUACAUUCGUCGAUUCUUUUUUAAAAAAAUUGCAAAUUGAUUACAAUAAGAAAAUGCAAAUAAAUCUCCAGAUAUCCCUUAUUGCACAUAAUUCGAUAAGACAAAUGCACUUGAAAUGCGUAAACAAUUUCGUUACAAUUUUUUCUCGUUCUUUAUUCCUAAAAUAAAGCGUAGUACUUAUGCGUGCAUUUUCUGUGCGUCUGCAAAUUUUAUUUUUUCCCUCGACAAGGUGUGACUUAAAAUAUUUCGACUGUUUUAUAAGUCAAACAUCAUGUGAUAACAAAUUAAUAAGAGGACGCGCAAACAGCUUAUAUUUUAAUACAAAUUGUUUAAUACAACUUUGAAAAUACAAUUGUUCAAGUUUGAUGUUUAAAUAUAUGCUUUUAUCCGAAUAAGUGUAUCAGUUUUUUAGAGUCUAAAUAUAGUAAUUCAAUGAGUAAUGUGAGAUUUUUGAUUAAUUGCAGAGAUAAGCUGUGUGUAUCAACUUUAAUUUAUCUUUGGGAUACAUUUUGAGGAUAGAUUAUUGAAGCAUUACGAUGUAAUCAAUAUGAUAAACUUUUUAUUUCUCGAAUAUUAAUCUCAUUUUUAUGUGUUCCGAAUGCACGAUUGGUACUUCGCGGAAAGAAGAAUCUAAGCAGAUUAAAUAUUGAAAGGGAGAUAGUGUAUUAUUUAUCAUGCCCUUAGGCUGUGAAUACGAUUUAGUAGAAAUACGAUUUCUAUAUACGCAGAGGAAUCUUCCGCUAUGAACAAGAUAAUUUUCGGCUGUUACGCUAACGUCUUAUCUAUUUGUUAUCCAUUCGUCACAACGUCUUGCACAAAGUUUGCGAAAUUUAUGACGUUUCAAUCUUGUCUCGUUAUAUCAAUUCUAAACAAACAACUAAACAACAAUAAUCCUUUUGCAAUUAGUCAAAGAUAAAUACAGUUUAUCGUUUAUAAAAAAAUACAUGUCAUAUUUAAUUAGAUAAAAAAUUUAUAAACAAGAUUAAUUAAUGUCUUGAUUAAUUAUUCGAUAAAAAUUCGCUAUGCCAAGUUUUCAAUUAAGAAAAUUCGAUUUCAAAUUGGUUGCAAUAAGAAAAGGCAAACAUAUUUAAGUUAAAUAGAAUUGGUACACUGUAGACAUCACUAUCGUAAAGGGUGAAUAACAUCUUCACCUUAUUAUCUGUGUGAUUUGUUUCCGACGGUGUCUUAACGUGAUGAAAUCCGUGGAAGAUCAGAAUAAGUUGAAAAUGAUUCGUCUAAGCAAUUAUCUCAGACGCAAAAAUGAUUAUGUUGCAUUUCACUGCAUAUCGUUACUGUUUUUGUAAAAUAAUUAGAGAAAACGAUUAUACGCAACAGUAGUGAUUGGAAUUCUAGUUAAAACAGGAAACAAACAUGAGGAAAUAAUAUAGACUUUAUUUAUUGAUAAAAUUGAAUAAAUGAUUAAUUUUUCACGGUUCGAUUAUCAUAUUUUUUAUAAGAAAAUAGAUGUAGCUUCUUCCCUACUAUUAUUUCAAUGAGAUUUAAUAUUAUUAAUAUUAAUAUGCUGGUUAUAUAUGAAUUGCUUAGGGCUGGUUGUUGGCUUAGGCCAACUUCUUGAUAAACUUACCUAUCAAGUAACCAUGUAUUUGUCCUCAUUUUUUAAAAUAAAAUAAAGGCAGACAUUUACCUGAUAGGUAAGUUUACCAAGAAAUUAAAACAACCGACCCUUAAUGUUAGAGAGAAGGAGAUAUCGUUUUCGAAGAUUCAUUCUUUUUUUCUGCUAAAAAAUUGAUCUAUGAUGACCCUAAAACUUAUUAGGUAAAACUGAAUAAAAAUAUUAAAAAUAUUUGUAUACUCUUCUAUAACAUCGUAAAAAAAGUCCGUAAUUUUUUAACGAAAAUUAUGUUUAUCUCAAACUUUAGCGUAAUUUUUAUCUAUUAUCUAUCGUGCGCCUUUAAUAACCAUGUUAAGCAAUUUAUAUAAUCUUGUUAUGUGAUUGUGAUAAAUAGUUAAAUAUUAAUGGAAAAAUAAAAAUAGUAUUAGUAAAUCGAUACACACAAAACAGUUAUAUAAACGCAAUAAAUAUUGCAGUGUAUGAAUAAUAUCUAUUAUACAAAAUUGAUGCUCAUUUUACAAUUACCAUUCAUCAUUUGACAGUUUAUAAAAUUGUCUCAAGGAGGAAUCAUACUCUAACUUGUUGGAGUGCGUUUUAUCGACUAUAUUAUAAAUGUAAUGAAUUGUAGUCAGAAAUAUAAUAUUAUUCUGGUGAUUAAUUAUGUAUCAGUCAUCGGCAUCUCAUUUACACUCUUAAGAUGCAAUUGAAUACAUCUAAAAUCAAA